rnacentral:rRNA from 1 species
CCUACGGGUGGCUGCAGUGAGGAAUAUUGGUCAAUGGGCGGAAGCCUGAACCAGCCAAGUAGCGUGCAGGAUGACGGCCCUACGGGUUGUAAACUGCUUUUAUACGGGAAUAACGCGCCUUACGUGUAGGGCUUUGCAUGUACCGUAUGAAUAAGGACCGACUAAUUCCGUGCCAGCAGCUGCGGUAAUCCGGAGGGACCGGGUGUUAUCCGGAUUUAUUGGGUUUAAAGGGAGCGUAGGCCGCAUGUCAAGCGUGCUGUGAAAUGUCCGGGCUCAACCCGGGCAUUGCAGCGCGAACUGGCGUGCUUGAAUCCGCGGACAGCAGGCGGAAUUCGUCGUGUAGCGGUGAAAUGCUUAGAUAUGACGCAGAACCCCGAUUGCGAAGGCAGCUUGCUGCAGCGGAACUGACGCUGAUGCUCGAAAGCGCGGGUAUCGAACAGGAUUAGAUACCCUUGUAGUC